AGAGUUUGAUCCUGGCUCAGAGCGAACGUUAGCGGCAGGCUUAACACAUGCAAGUCGAGCGAGAAAGGGGCUUCGGCUCCGAGUAAAGCGGCGGACGGGUGCGUAACACGUGGAUAAUCUGCCUCGUGGCGGGGGACAACAGUCCGAAAGGACUGCUAAUACCGCAUGUCAGGUCGGAAACUCCGGUUUCUGACGAAAAAAGAGGGCGUCCGCAAGGAGCUCUCACCACGAGAUGAGUCCGCGUCCCAUCAGCUAGUUGGCGGUGUAAUGGACCACCAAGGCUUAGACGGGUAGCUGGUCUGAGAGGAUGACCAGCCACACUGGGACUGAGACACGGCCCAGACUCCUACGGGAGGCAGCAGUGGGGAAUAUUGGACAAUGGGCGAAAGCCUGAUCCAGCCAUGCCGCGUGAGUGAUGAAGGCCUCGGUCGUAAAG
rnacentral:rRNA from 1 species